CCUACGGGUGGCAGCAGUGGGGAAUAUUGGACAAUGGGGGCAACCCUGAUCCAGCCAUGCCGCGUGUGUGAAGAAGGCCCUCGGGUUGUAAAGCACUUUCAGUGAGGAAGAACGCCUGGUGGUUAAUACCCAUCAGGAAAGACAUCACUCACAGAAGAAGCACCGGCUAACUCCGUGCCAGCAGCCGCGGUAAUACGGAGGGUGCGAGCGUUAAUCGGAAUUACUGGGCGUAAAGCGCGCGUAGGUGGCUUGAUAAGCCGGUUGUGAAAGCCCCGGGCUCAACCUGGGAACGGCAUCCGGAACUGUCAAGCUAGAGUGCAGGAGAGGAAGGUAGAAUUCCCGGUGUAGCGGUGAAAUGCGUAGAGAUCGGGAGGAAUACCAGUGGCGAAGGCGGCCUUCUGGACUGACACUGACACUGAGGUGCGAAAGCGUGGGUAGCAAACAGGAUUAGAUACCUAGUAGUC
rnacentral:rRNA from 1 species